rnacentral:rRNA from 1 species
UAAGACGAAGGUGGCGAGCGUUGUUCGGAAUCACUGGGCUUAAAGAGCACGUAGGCGGAACAGUAAGCGUUUUGUGAAAUCCCCCGGCUUAACCGGGGAAUUGUUGGGCGAACUGCUGUUCUUGAGGCAAGCAGAGGUGCGUGGAACUCUUGGUGGAGCGGUGAAAUGCGUAGAUAUCAAGAGGAACGCCAGCGGAGAAGUCGGCGCACUGGGCUUGUACUGACGCUGAGGUGCGAAAGCGUGGGGAGCAAACGGGAUUAGAUACCCCGGUAGUCCACGCCGUAAACGACGCCUACUAGGUUGCGGGAGCUCUGACGCUCUCGCAGCCGAAGCUAAAGUGUUAAGUAGGCCGCCUGGGGAGUACGGCCGCAAGGCUA